rnacentral:rRNA from 1 species
GACGAACGCUGGCGGCGUGCUUAACACAUGCAAGUCGAACGAUGAAGAAGAGAAACGCGAACUUCGGUUCAAAUUUCACUUCGGAUUAGUGGCAGACGGGUGAGUAACGCGUGAGCAACCUACCUCUUACAAAGGGAUAGCCUCGGGAAACCGUGAUUAAUACCAUAUGACACAUUCAUAAGGCAUCUUAAGAAUGUUAAAGCUACGGCGGUAAGAGAUGGGCUCGCGUCCCAUUAGCUAGUUGGUGAGGUAACGGCCCACCAAGGCGACGAUGGGUAACCGGGCUGAGAGGGUGAACGGUCACAUUGGAAGUGAGACACGGUCCAAACUCCUACGGGAGGGAGCAGUGGGGAAUAUUGCACAAUGGAGGGAACUGUGAUGCAGCGACGCCGCGUGAGCGAUGAAGGAAUUCGUUUCGUAAAGCUCUGUUCUAUGGGAAGAAAAGGACUGUACCAUAGGAGAAAGCCCCGGCUAAAUACGUG